CAUUACCGAGUAAGGGCUUUACCAAAGCCCGAUCUCCCAACCCUUGUAUUCUGUACCACUUUGCUUUGGCGGGCCCGUCACUAGUGACCGCUGAAGGAUUUUAGCUUAAGUUACUAACUAUAAACCUUGGGCCUGUGUCCGCCAAGGAACCUAAAUACGUGUUAUAAAACCAGUUUGUCUGAGAAUCAAAGAAAAUAACCAAAACUUUCAACAACGGAUCUCUUGGUUCUGGCAUCGAUGAAGAACGCAGCGAAAUGCGACAAGUAAUGUGAAUUGCAAAAUUCCGUGAAUCAUCGAAUCUUUGAACGCACAUUGCGCCCUCUGGUAUUCUGGAGGGCAUGCCUGUCCGAGCGUCAUUGCUAUACCUCAAGCCCAGCUCUGUGUUGGACUCCCUGUCUUGUUGGACAGUAGUCCCAAAGGCAGUGGCAGGGUCGUAGUCCGGUCUUUUCAAUGCGUAUGGGGCAUUGUCACCCGCUUGAAAGCUGGCCGGCCCUUUUCAGCCUAUACAAAUCUUUUUUUUUCUGAUGGACCUCGGAUCAGGAAGGGAUACCCGCUGAACUUAAGCAUAUCAAUAAG
rnacentral:rRNA from 1 species